rnacentral:lncRNA from 1 species
UUUUGUUUUGUUUUCUUUUUCAUGUUUAUUUAGUAACUAGAAAACUGGACAGAAGCCGGUAAAACAUCAAGUAAGACAAUUUUUUAUAGUUUUUAUAGAGUGAAAAGCAAUCUAGAAUUUUGGUAGUACUCUGGUUUAAAUAUACCCUUCAAAGGUUCGUGUGUGGAGAUGCCUAUGCUUUGAGCAGCCAGGAGGCUGAUGCAGGAGGAUUGCUCCAAGACUGAGGCUAGCCUGGACUAAACAGAGAGUACUAGGUCAGCUGAGAUUAUGUAUAAUAAGAAAGUCUUAAAACAAAACAACAGAAGGCUUGUAUCUUAGCUCAGUGGCAGAGAGCUUGCCUUGCAUAUGUGCAUUCUGAAUUCAUUUCUCAGCAUCCCCAGAUUAAAAAGAAGUUAAUGUGCUAUAAGCUGGUGAAGUUUGGUCUGGUUCUACUUCCUAUCCCCAUGCUACCAAAAACAAGACUCAGAUUCAAAAUGUACUUACAAAUACUUUGGCCAUAUAGCUAGGCUCUUCUCUGGCUAGAAUCAUAACAAGAGAA